CCCCGCGACAGCGCCGUAAUGACGGUGCUGAAGGUCAAUCGACUUCCUCGCACUACUUCCCUAAUAACUGCAGCGUUAAGCGAUGAGUAUUUGAGGAGGAGAGGAGGCGGAUGGUGCAAGAGAAGCAGGAGGCAGGGAUGAUUUCUGGGCUAGCAUCCUCGAUGGCGUACCAGUGAUGUUCAACAUCGAUCAGCGCCUGAGCGCCGGGUAGGAGGGUCAAGGCGAUGAUGCAAGGACGAAGAUGACAUGCUCUGCUCUUCGUCCAACAUACAUCAAGUUUCAUAGAGUAGAAAACAAAGGAUAUUGCAGUCUUUAAUUAUAUGCUCGAAACAUCUUGCAGCUAUUGUACCAAUUAUCAUUCGCCUUCUAACAUGAUUUAGUUUCUCUCA